UUGUCGGAGAAAGGUUAUAAAUAGACAUUUGCUCUUAGAAUGUAAACACACCAUUUGAGAAUAAAUUUGAGAGAAUUCUUGAGAGUUCGAUUUUUCUUCUUUUAAUAUUUUUGCUAAAAUUAGUUUUUUCAAGUUUUUCGGGAAGUAGGAGUCUUUAGAAAUCUUAUUGAGCUAAAGAGCGAUGAUCAACUUAUUGGUAAGUUCGUGGUGUUUUUCCUUUCCUUAUUUACUUUCUUUAGUCUUUGUUUUUGCUUUCAUUUUAGAAUUGUACAUUCAAUUAGAGGGAGGAAUUUAAUUCUAAGUGGUUAUAGUUUCGGUAUUGCAUACGUUGAGUGGUUUUAAGAGUUGAUUCGAUUCUCUUCAUAUCCUCCCGCGUCAUUUGAUAUCAGAGUUUUGGCUCCUAAGAACCCAAAUCUAUCUUUAUUUGCUUUAGCAUUUUGUUCUUUAACAAUUCAAAUUAAUUUUUGAUUUGUUCGUAUUGUAUCCUGUUUGAAUGUAUAUCUAUAUGUUCAAUUCAAAUAGUUCGUUUUUUUUUAAAUUAUAUAUCAAAAAUACCAAAAAUACCCCAAGUUGCACCCCAUAAGUCAAUUGGCACAUUGUUUGCAUUUUACAUCACAAAAGCAGAAUAGCUAAUUGGUGACUGGAAAUCCUUUAAGAAAUUAAAGGCAAAGUACGUUGCCUAACUGGUGUGAGCGGAAACUUUUGUUUUCAUUUCGUACACUAUCCACAUUUAAUUUUUGAAUUGCAUUUCUGUAAUUUGCAUCAAUGUUGUAUAAAGAAACUUAAUCGGUCGUAGAGCGUCGCCAACAAAUUGGGGGUAGUAUAGGAAGAUACACCUACCGAUUAUAUCCGUCGGGAUUGAUCAGAUCCCUAUGCAUCAGUCCGAGUUAUCAUUAUUUGUGAUCUAUGUUUCCGUUUUCUUUAUUUUACAUUUGUUCCGUUACAUAAUUAAGCGACUAAUUGUUACUAGUUGCUUAACGCAUAAAGAGCACACUAAUCUUUUUUUUAUGUGUUUGUUUCUGAA
rnacentral:lncRNA from 1 species